CAAUAGCGUAUACUAAUGUUGUUGCAGUUAAAAAGCUCGUAGUUGAACUUCUGGUAGGAGUGUCCCGGCCUUUUUGUUUUUACAAAUUGUAUGCUGUGUGACAUCUCUGGCCAUCCUUCUUCUUUGUUUAAAGAAGAUCUUUCACUGUAAAAAAAUUAGGGUGUUCAAAGCAAAAGUUUCUUUGGAAUAUAUUAGUAUGGGAUGAUAAGAUAGGCUCUAGAUGCUAUUUUGUUGGUUUGCACAUUUAGAGAAUGAUUAACAGGGACAGUUGGGGGUAUUUGUAUUUACAUGUCAGAGGUGAAAUUCUUGGAUUUUGGAAAGACGAACUACUGCGAAAGCAUUUACCAAGGAUGUUUUCAUUAA
rnacentral:rRNA from 1 species